rnacentral:lncRNA from 1 species
GAAUUACAAUAGUUCCUUUUCGGGGCCUAGGUAUUUCGGAACUUGAACAAAUGGGGAAUUUUAGAGGCACUGAAAUAUUUUAUCCCUUUCCAAAAUCCCCAUCAAGUUUUGCUACCAACACAAGUGCUGUGAUAGCUAAUUUAUACACUAUUAAUUAAUUGUCAUUUACUCAUUUAUUUAGCAAAUAUUUCUGAGUAACUUAUUCUGUGCCAGGCACUAUUCUAGGUUCUUGGGGAUGCUUCACUGAGUGAAAACAAAACAAAACAAAAAAUUCCCUGCCCUCAUGGAGCUUACAUGCUGGUGUGGCAAACAGGCAAUAAUCAGAUAAUUAAUACAUGUAUAGCAUAGUAGAUACUGAUAAAUAUCAAGAAAAAAGUGAAUCAGGGAAGGGGGAUUAAAAAUGCUGAGAAGGGGGAUACUAAUAUUUUAAGUAUAUUAGAAUUGGAGCAAAGACCUGAAAAAGGAAGGGUAUGAGUAAUAUAGCCAUCUAAAGGACAAUCACUCCAGACAAGUGCUGUCCAACAGACUGGCCAUGAGUCUCAUGUAAACACCACAUUGGACAACACAGGUGUGAAAAUUCUCCAUCAUCGCAGAAAGUUCUAAUGGACAGUGCUGCUCCCAACAGAAAGAAUGGCAAAUACACAGGUCCUGAAGAGGCGGACAACAGAAGAAGUAACAAGGAGGUCAGUAUACCUGUAACUGGGUACAAGUGGGAGAGGGAAAUAGGAGACAGAAAGUCAAUGAGGGGCCAGAGUAUGUAGAAUCUCUCGCAGGUCCUUCCUGGACUUCAAGAUAUUAUUCUGAGCAAGAUGGGAAGCCUUUGGAAUGUGUUGAGUGGAAGGGUAAUGUGCUGUACUUUGCACUGUGUCAAGGGCACUCUGACUGCUGUUUUGAGAAUUAAGAGGCCAGAGCAGAAGUUAAAAAAACCAUUGUGAUCAUCCAGGAAGAGGAAGAGCACUGUCCACCAGUAAAGAGCAUAAACUGUGAGAAGUGGUAGAUUCUAGAUUGAUACUGGAGUAUGAUAAAGGCAAAUAACCCACCCAGGGAUACUUAUUACAAUGUAGGUUCUAGACACCCACUCACAGAAAUUAUGAUUUGGCAGAAUUAUUAUGGUGCAGAAAAAUCUACAUUUUUUUUCUCCCAUGAGAAUUCUGAUUCUCGUGCCCAACUCAUUCCCCAACAUAUAUUUGCCCUGCAUCCUCUGAAAGCUUUGAAAUACAUUUGUUUGGUGGCUUGUUUAACAUUAAAUUUAUAACUGGUGAACACUAGAUGCUGGUGAUGCAAGCAGUGUAGUCAUCAUUGGAGGUAGUAGAGACCCACCAAAUGCCUCUUUAAUAUCAUUGUGAAGAAAUGAAUCCUUGACGGAAGUUUUUGGUUUUGCUUUCUAUUUUUUGUUGUUAUUGUUGUUGUUUGGACGACAUUUAUACAUUCCCUGGAAUUAAGCUAAAAGGCACAUAACGGAUGCUUAAGCCAAGGUGAGAUGCCAUUUCCACUUUUUUAAAACAACAUAGAAGCUACCAUUUAGCACACACAGGUUAUGAACACACAUAUCUUCUAAUCUGAAAUGUGUUAUAUUUUCUCUACCUGAAUGAUAAGAACCCAUUCCAUGAUCUAUUUUCUUUUUUCAUGAAGAGUCCAAUCUACCACUUUCCAUGAUAUGAUUUCCAUAUUCAGUAUCAACAAGUAAUUAUAAAAUGACAAACAAAUAUCCACAUUUUUAUAUUGAGAUUAAGGGAAAUAGUUUUUUCAGAUACAAGUAAGUCCAGAUAAAAAUUUCCGUUCUUUUUUCUUUCUUAUUUUUCCUUCAUUGCCUAGGAAGAUAAGAUGGAGUCAGACUUCAAGGAGGAAAUUGGAGAAAAUGCAUUUAAGAGAAAGAAAAAAUGAGGAUCAAUCAGGCUGAAGUGAAUAGUUACAAUUUGCCUACAGCCCGGCAUAACUACUAUCAUGAUCUAACUAUGGGGAAAAAUGUUUUAAAGUACAAUUUUCACAUAAAUCAAGUAGCACAUGAAGAGGAAAAAUAAACCUAAUAUUGCCUUUAGGAGUAUCCGCAUAUUAGUGAAGGACUAUGUAAAGGUGUCUGAAAUUUCUAUUUCAAUAAAACUUCUCUAAAAGUUUAUUAUUCAUGAGUUGUUCUUUUGCUUCAAACAACACUCUAAAUACACCUUAGAGAGAAUAAACUCAUUUUAAUCGCAAUCAUUUUAAUGUAAAUUGAUUGAUCAGAUCACUUUUCUUCUUGGCAAAAUUCUGUUUUAAAGUAUUUUAAAAGGCUUUAAAGUUUUUAGCAUCAGACGCUUAAAAAGAAAGAGGUGGGAAUGAAGACAAUAACUUUUACCGUUUGUUUUUUUUUUAAGGGGCCAGUUCAGAGAGCAGCAAGAAUCUGCAUAGAAGUAAUCAUUUCUGGAAAUCCAGAUUACUUAGUGGCAUCUGCUGAAACACAGAUGAGUUAAAAUACUUGUUAUGAAGAGGGCCUGUACCAAUGAUUUUGAUCUUUCAUUAAAAAAGGAAAUUUCAAGCUCUUAGAAACAAAGAAAAAAUAAACGAGUGUUACAAGAAUGUUUUAAGCAUUCCGUAGAUGGCUCAAGAAUAGUAUAUGCAGGGCUGCCUUUUACAUUUAGGGCUGGACUGGGACAUGGUACGUAGGAAAUUGCAUGGUGAAGUGGUACAAGCAUCAGGCUCAAGAAUGAGAGUCCAGUUUGACAGACCAGAUGAAGAAGUGAUUAAGACCAUAGUUCUGGACUUAGACAAGCCUGGCUUUGUGACUUUGGACAAAUUAUUUGAUAACUGUAAGUGUAUUUAUCACUAAAAGGCAGAUAAUAAUAUUAUGUCAUACAGAUGCUCAUCCAUUGAUUCAACAAAUAUUAAUUGAGUGUCUUCCAUGUGCCAGGUACCUUUCUCCUCUAUAAAAUGGAACAGAAAACAAACAAAAAAAUAUAUAUGUAUUUUGAGACAAAGUAUUGCUCUGUUGCCCAGGCUGGAGUGCAGUGGCACGAGCUCGGCUCACUCCAACCUGCACUUCCAGUUCAAGCAAUUCUCCUCCCUCAGCUUCCCGAGUAGCUGGGAUUACAAGUGUGCACCACCACACCUAGCUAAUUUUUUUGUAUUUUAGUAGAAACGGGUCUUCACCAUGUUGCCCAGACUGGUCUCAAAGUCCUGAGCUCAGGCAUUUCACCCAUCUCAGCCUUCUAAAGUGCUAGGAUUACAGGUGUGAGCCACUACACCCAGCAAAAAAUAUCUGCCUCUAUGUACCUUACAUUCUAUUUGGACAGGCAAAGCUCAGACAAGAUUAAUAUAUGUUAAAAUGUACAGCAAAACAUAUAGUAUUUUAGAUAGUGUUAAGUGCAGUGGAGAAAAAAAAACAAAACAAUAAGGGUGGCGAGAAGAAUCAGGAUGGAGAAAAUAACUUCAUUUUAGAUGUGGAGUCCAGGAUAGGCUUCACUGACGAGGUUGAUCUGAGGAAAUAUCUGUAAGAAAAAAAGAAGCAAAAAGACCCAAGGCAGACUGAGUUGUGAGCAGACCUGUUGUAUUGGAGGAGGCUGUGGAAUGAGUGAAGGAGCCUAUUUGGAGAUGGAGUCAGAGAAGUAAGAGGGAUGAUGAUACAGGAUUUAAGAAGUCACCAUGGAAUACUAUGCAGCCAUAAAAAAGUAUGAGUUCAUGACCUUUGUAGGGACAUGGAUGAAGCUGGAAACCAUCAUUCUGAGCAAACUAUCGCAAGGACAGAAAACCAAACACCGCAUGUUCUCACUCAUAAGUGGGAAUUGAACAAUGAGAACACUGGGACACAGGGUAGGGAACAUCAUGCACCAGGGCCUGUCAUGGGGUGGGGGGAGGGGGAGGGAUAGCAUUAGGAGAAAUACCUAAUGUAAUUGAUGAGUUAAUGGGUGCAGCACACCAACAUGGCACAUGUAUACAUAUGUAACAAACCUGCACACUGUGCACAUGUACCCUAGAACUUAAAAUAUAAUAAAAAAUAAAUAAAUAAAAAUAAAUUUCUCAUAAUAAAGCAAAAAAAAGAAGUCAAAGAAAUAGUUGUGGUUUUUUAUUCUGAGUGAAAUGGACAGUCAACGGAGGGCAGUAAGCAAAUUAGUGAUAGAAUCAGACUUGUGUUUUGAAAAGCUCAUCCUGGCUGCUGUGCUUAGAAUAGACUGUGUUGUAGAAAAUACAAACAGGGAAGACCCCAUAGAAAGCUGACGCCAUAUUCUAGGUGAGAAACUAUGGAAAUUUGGACCAAGGUGAUAGAAGGGGAGGUGGUAAGAAACAGUCACAUUCUGUAUACAUUUUAAAAAUAGAACAAAGGAUUGGCUGAAGGAUUGGAUAUGAGAUGGGAAAGAAAGAGAGAGUUCAAGGAAAAUUGCAAAGUCUCUGGUUAUCAUGAGGAGUAUGUGAGAUCCCACAUAUAAAGUAUCAAACAUAAUGCCUAGGACAGAGUGAAUGCUAAAAAAGGGAUAUUCUGGUAUACAUUUCAGUGUGUACAUCUUAACUUAUUCACCCAAUAAUGGCUAUGAAUUCUAUCUAUAUAAUCAGUUUCUGUUCAGGAACAUGAAUGUAAAUUGCAAAGUAGUUUAUACAUUAAAUUCUCAUAGUAGGAAUUCAAUAAAGAUUUGAGAGAAGACGUUUACACUUGGUACCCGUCAAUAUUGGGCAACCACCAACUAUAUUUGGUACUUAACGAGCCUUUAUAGAAGUUCCCAAAAUGUAAAAAUGAAGAGAACUAGAAAGAUUAAGAUAGAAGAGUUUAAAAAAUAUAUGUUCAUGCAGGAGAAAAGUGAAGGCUUUUCAAGGUUACUAAGGAUCUCCAACUGUUGCACCUUUCUUCAAAGAUACGGGCUUCUACAAGGUUUUCAUCAUAGCUACUACAACAGGAGGUCCAGUAGCUCUGGGCUCAAUGCCAAAGCAACCAGAUCCAUGGAGUCUCUGGCCUCUACGUGGCUAACCAGAAGGCUUGGCAAAUUCAGGCUGGAAAUACAGAACAUGUAAUAGUUUGUCGGACAACUUUUAACCCAAUAUGGACAAGAUAUGGGAAGAAGCACACAAUCUUUUCUAGGACACAUCAUUUUAAGGGAAGAUGGGAGAGAUAUGAAGAAGCAGCUGUGGAGAUGCAACGCUGGACAUGAAAUGGGUGUGGAAGACAACGGAAAGCCAGUUGGUCAAGACCCUUGGGAAGAAAAGAAUCUUUAAAAGGUCUCUGUUAGCGUGGGACUAAAUUGUAAUCAGACAUUGUGAAUAAGAUGAAAUACUAAAGAAAGAAAGAAAGAAAAAUAUAGGGCACAUACAGAACUGAUCAAGAAGGGAUUAUCAAGAGACAAUUACUCAACUACCCAUUUGCAAGUGAGCAUAUUCUCACCCAACACUGUUUUCAGUUAUGAUUGAAUGGAAGCUCUAAUUGAAUAGUUCUUUGUGGUGUUCAAAGUCCAAGACAGCAAGUUGUUCUUUUGUAUGGGUUCAUAAGUUUUCCCAGAAUGAACUGUAAAACACUCAUGAUUUCCCUGAACUGUGGCAAAGUGACUUACCCAGUUUCUGGCAAAUUUAUUAAGCAAUACAGACUCCCUGCUUAAUCCAUUGGUUUAAACAAUAUUCAGUUAACACAAAUUAGUGAAUAAGCAGAGACAUAGGUCAGCUGAUCGAAGAAAGAUGUAAAAGUAAAUUAAAAUAAAAUUUAUUUGAAAACAGCAAUGGGUCAGAGCUAAAGCCCAGUACAAGUUAGAACAAAUAAAAACCCAUUAAUCUGAAAAACCUUCUUGGGUUUACAAGAAGGCUUUUCUGAUCUCAGGCUGUAUUUAUCCUCUAGAUGGAAAAAAAAGAGGAGCAAUAAAUCUCUUCAUAUCAAAGGCCUGUUCAGCAGAAAUGAAUUGAAAGUGUUGGGUCAAUUAGACUGAACUAGAUCUCCCCCAGGCAAACCUACUAUCGAUACAUAUUUAGCUUCCAGACACCUUUAAAGGCAGCCUGGGAAAGGCUGGCUAGCAAAGAAAAAAAAAGAUAAUUCUAAAAUUUGAGUUCCCUUUGAACUCCAUCCACUACAGCAAUAAAAAGAGCUGUUUCUGCUCUAUUGCAUUUUGUUGAAACAAAAAAAAAAUAGACUGGAGAAAUGAAUAAGCUCGGCAUAUUAUGUAGAUAAAAUGGUAUUAUGGCAAGAGAAUGAAGAACAAAGAGCUAAGAACCAGAUUCCUGUCGCAGCUCUGCUCUCAUAGCUGUGUGACUUCUGGUCAGUCCUUAGACUUUGAAAUCUAUAGGCUACAUGUCUGGAAAUAAGAGGAUAACAGAUUAUUCUUAAGUUUCUCUGUGAUUCAAAAAUAUCUAUGAAUCUAAAGGAAGGAAGACAGUUAUGUGGAUUGGUUAUUGGAAAAGAAUCUAAAGUAAUUGUUUCAUGUAUGCAUAAAAGGGAAGAUCCAGCUAUAAAUUGUCAAGAUAUCUUCAAAAACACCUUUUAUUAUUGAAAGCUACAAAGAGGACAAAUAGUCAAAUAAAUUUUUGUAGGAACACUCAUAAAUAAUAUUUACUAGUAUCUAGUGAGCAUUUACUAUUUGAAUUACUUUUGUAGAAAGUCUUAUUUAGUCCAAUACAAUCCUUUGAGAUAGAUGCCGUUUUAUAUAAAUUUUAUACAUAAGUCAACUGAGAUACCAUUAUAGACUCAGAAUGUUCUAAGAGGCAAACCAGGAUUUAGUCUCGUACUGUUCAAACUCUACUAAUCACUGUGUAAUUAUAAGCACUCUUCUAGAUCACCAUUUGUAGAUGGCAUAGUAAAGUAAAGACAUCUUCAGCUUGUGCUUCAAGCCAGAACAUACACUGUCACAUUUAAAACUCCAGUGUCUCUGUGAUGGGCUUAUUUGUAUUAUUCCUCUUCCUUUGGUCUAAGUGAAAAUACUUUUUCUUAAUUUCCUGAGACAAUCUGAGAAAAUGAAUCUAGUGAAAAUGCUAGAGUAACUCAUUGGAUUUGAGCGCUCCAACCAUUGAAAUACUAUGGUAUCAACUGGACUAAGAAUCAGAGGACCUCUAUUCAAGGCCUUUCUUUACUAAUUGUGAGUGGGACCUCGAGCAAAUUUCUCACCACUCUAAACAUCAGUUUCCCAACUAUAAAACAGAACUUUUCUCGCUAAUAUUACAAUGUUAAAGAGGUAAAAUAGAAAAAAGAAGGACUUUGGAUCUAGAGGAGCCUAGAUGGGAAUUUUGUGAGGAGUCAUGUGACCUUGUACAAAUUACUCAAACGUUUCUGAGUCUCAUGUUCUUUGUCUGAGUAAUGGUGAUGAUAAUAGUGAUAUGGACAGUAGGCAGCGAAAUACUGGGCAGAAGAGAGCAGUGCCCCAGCAAAGGCCCCACCCUCAAGCCUGGAAACCCGCAGCCCUAAAUGGGAACAAGCAUUCCUGUUUUCAUGCCCAAAUGUUGUCUUUUGGCCCACCAUGUCCCCCACUAUCUUGUACCCAUAUAAACUCCAAACCUCAGGCUCCACGAGCAGAGGAACAGCAGAGCGGCAGAGCAGCAGGGCAGCACAGCAGUGCAGCAGAGAAGGAGAGAAAAGGAGUAUAUGAACGUUAGGAGGAGUUCGGCUGGGGAUGGUCAGAGAGGAGACUGGCCACAGGAUGGCCGAACUCCAGGGGAAGAUCAUCUUCCCACUAAAUCCCCUUUCCAGCUCCCCAUCCAUCCCACUGAGAGCCACCUCCACCACUCAAUAAAAUCCCUGCAUUCACCAUCCUUUAAUUCCGAGUGACCUGAUUCUUCCUGGGUACUGAAAAAGGGGCCAGGUACCAAGAAGGCAGGGUGUAAAAGACUGUGACCCUGACUCUCCACUGAGCUUGUUUAACACUUAGCCACCCACGGACAGCAACUGCUAAAAGAGUAUUAAUUGUAACACACCUCUAGAUGCUUCCGUGGGGCCAGAGCCCAAAAGCACUUGCCCUGGCUCCUGCACCUGCCCAUCUGUGUGCUUCCCCUCUUGUAAGGGAUUUGAGCACCCAGCAGCCAAAUAAACAAGCCACACCCCUAUGAGGGGGUCAGGGAACUCACCCAUUUAAAUAGUAACAACUUCACAAGGCUAAAGUAUAGAUUAAAUUAGAGAACUUUCCUCAAAUGUAGUAGUUUAACCCACAAUAAUGGAAAACAAAUAACUAGAAGAGACUCUGAACAUUGGUGAACCAUUCUGUUUUAAAUAUAAUGUAUACCCACAAAUUGUCUUUUGGGCAUGUAUGUUUUCUUGUAUAUUUGUUCGUUUAUCUCCAGCAAUAGAGAUGAAUUUGUGCUGAGACACUAAUUUUCUUUCUCCUUACCUUCUUUUCUCUUCUCCUUUUCUUUUGUGUGGCAAAAAUAAUGCAUUAUUUUAAAAAAUACUGCUGGCAAGUGUCCUUCCCAGUCCACAUGGGGGCUAACCCCUCCUCAACCUUACUAAAAGGGUGGGCUCCAAAAACUAAUUAGUCGUGUACAGUAAAAAUAAGAAAAUUACACUAUUUAAAUUGACGGUUUGUUUAAAAAUGUUUUGCAAAUUCACGUUUUGUUAAAAUGUCUAACUAUAUAUGUAAUUUACAUAACCUAUGGAAUCAAGAAAAGAAUAUCCCUUUCAGAUAUGUUAAAUGGAAUGAACAAAUAUGUACAUCGCUAUUAUAUGUGCCACAUUCUCUUUCACCCAGAUGCCAUCUAUAAAAAGCUCAGAAAUGAACGGUAAUUUAAACUAUAAAUCUAUAUUUAACACACUAUAAAUGAGUAGACUAGUGUGUAUAAUAUUUUGCUUCUAUCCCCCUUUGAAUUAAUCUAGUUCUUACUCUAUAUAAAUAUCUACUUGUUGUGUUCUUUUCAUUUCAUCAGGUGAGAAAGACUGAAAAUGAAAGGCCCUUAAAUGAGAAAGGUAAUAUGGAAAAUAAAAUGGAUAUCUCAGCCCUGUCAUUCAAGUAUCCCUAGUGCAAACAUGUAAUUUUGUAAUUUAUUGUCCAAAGAGGAUACUUUUGAAAUGGAAAGGGGCACUAUAAAUAAUUGUACCAGGAAAAUAGGAGGAAACCAGUGUUUCUCAAAUAAAUUGAGAUAUAUGGUUGACAGGUCACUUAAGUUGUGUCAUUUUAACUUCCAAAACACUUUCUGCCUGUUCAAAAUAAAUCCAAAAGGUACCCUGCCUCCCAGCCCCUUUGACAGUCUCUGCUGCUCCACCAUCAAGUGACUUUUCCCCCUGGAUUGCUACAAUAGCCUCACAGGAGCCUCUUAGCUUCCACCCUGGCCCUCCCCACUUCUCCAACUCUCCAGUCAAUUUUCUGUAUAGCAACAAAAGAUAUACUUUUACAGCAGUGGUUCUCAACUGGAAGAGGUUUUGUCCCCUGUCUUGUGACACAUGGCAAUGCCUGGAGAUAAUAUUGAUUGUCACACCUAGGAGGCUGCUACCAGCAUCUAGCAGGGAGAGGCCAGGGAUGCGGCAAAACAUCCUACACUGCCAUGUGACAGCGCCCAUAACAAAAAAGUACCUAAUCC